rnacentral:rRNA from 1 species
AGUUAAAAAGCUCGUAGUUGGAGUUCAGAGUGAGCUCAGCCGGUCGGCCUAAUGGGUCAGAACUGGUUGACUCUCUCUUGUUUGUGGAUCCCUUCGGAGUUAACUCUUCGGAUGUGGAGUCCACAUCGUUUACCUUGAAAAAAUUAGAGUGUUCAAAGCAGGCGUUUGCUUGAAUAUAUUAGCAUGGAAUAAUGGAAUAGGACGCUGGUUCUAUUUUGUUGGUUUCGAGAACCAGAGUAAUGAUUAAUAGGGACAGUUGGGGGCAUUCAUAUUUCAUUGUCAGAGGUGAAAUUCUUGGAUUUAUGAAAGAUGAACUUCUGCGAAAGCAUUUGCCAAGGAUGUUUUCAUUAAUCAAGAACGAAAGUUAGGGGAUCGAAGACGAUCAGAUACCGUCGUAGUCUUAACCAUAAACUAUGCCGACUAGGGAUUGGGCGUGGUUUGUUCAUUGACCCGCUCAGCACCUUACGAGAAAUCAAAGUCUUUGGGUACCGGGGGGAGUAUGGUCGCAAGGCUGAAACCUAAAGGAAUUGACGGAAGGGCACCACCAGGAGUGGAGCCUG